AAAUCAGAAAAGGGUUGAAGGACACUGGAAUUUGGCCACUACUUGCCUGUCGACCAGAUGUUGCUCCCCUGUUGUUCCCCAGAGAGUCUGUUGUGAAACUCACCUCCCAAAUGGUCCUAGAGUCCAUCACAUGGCCCCCAUCAAAACAAACAGACAUUGACGACAGUGAUGAUGAAAUCUCAGAUGGCAAAGUCAGCCUCAUCUCUGGAUUUCUUCGAACCUUCGUUGAAGAGGCAUCCCCAGACAUUUUGCGGCAGCUUUUGAAGUUCUGGGUCGGUUGGGAGGUGCCAUCCAAUACCCUCAAGCUAGAAAUUGUCAACUCACGUGGUCGUAACCACCUACCAACUUCAAGCACCUGCUAUGAGCAUUUAUGCAUAUCAAACCACUACACCAGGUACUCCACUCUAAAAGCGGAUCUAAUGAUAUGUCUUCAGUCUGUUGAGAGUAGGUUUGGCCUGGUGUAAUAAGGUGAAAAACAUUUUACAGAAACAAGGGCACUGUCCCGCUCCUCAUCAUCAUCCCUGGCAUCCAGUGACAGCAGUAGAGAUGGCUGGUGUUCUCCUCCUUGCCUCAGUUCUUCUAGAAACAGCUGCAUGGCUUCAAGGGGGGUAUCUGCUGUUUUCCAUGCUUUUUGUGAGACAAGGAUGGAAUGUGUGUAAUUAUACUUCACUGAUCAUGAACAGUUUCAUUUCCAAACAGGAUAUAAAAAUGUUGGAUUCAUGUAAGGAUUUAGCUGACAUGAUGAUUGUAUGAGCAGUUGAUCAGGUCCAAGAAAGCUUUAGUGUCUCCCUAUAUCACAAUAGUCUUGCUUUGUUACCUGUUGCUAAAGAAGUUGUCAAACGAAGGGCUGAUCGAGCCACAGAGGAAUCUGCAGAUGAAGGGCCUGGAACCUCCAUAUCAGGCUCCACAAUUGUGUUGUUGCAGAAGGAUCUUACAACAAAGGGACAUAACACAAAACAUUAUGGCAUAUGUCAAUACCACAGUAAUUGUGUAGAAUAGCUUGGAUCCUCUU
rnacentral:lncRNA from 1 species